rnacentral:rRNA from 1 species
UACGUAGGGGGCUAGCGUUGUCCGGAAUCAUUGGGCGUAAAGAGCGUGUAGGCGGCCCGGUAAGUCCGCUGUAAAAGUCAAAGGCUCAACCUUUGAAUGUCAGUGGAUACUGCCGGGCUAGAGUCCGGAAGAGGCGAGUGGAACUCCUGGUGUAGCGGUGAAAUGCGCAGAUAUCAGGAGGAACACCAAUGGCGAAGGCAGCUCGCUGGGACGGUACUGACGCUGAGGCGCGAAAGCGUGGGGAGCAAACAGG